rnacentral:rRNA from 1 species
GACGAACGCUGGCGGCGUGCUUAACACAUGCAAGUCGAACGGAAAGGCCCUGCUUUUGUGGGGUGCUCGAGUGGCGAACGGGUGAGUAACACGUGAGUAACCUGCCCUUGACUUUGGGAUAACUUCAGGAAACUGGGGCUAAUACCGGAUAGGAGCUCCUGCUGCAUGGUGGGGGUUGGAAAGUUUCGGCGGUUGGGGAUGGACUCGCGGCUUAUCAGCUUGUUGGUGGGGUAGUGGCUUACCAAGGCUUUGACGGGUAGCCGGCCUGAGAGGGUGACCGGCCACAUUGGGACUGAGAUACGGCCCAGACUCCUACGGGAGGCAGCAGUGGGGAAUAUUGCACAAUGGGCGGAAGCCUGAUGCAGCAACGCCGCGUGUGGGAUGACGGCCUUCGGGUUGUAAACCGCUUUCGCCUGUGACGAAGCAUGAGUGACGGUAAUGGGUAAAGAAGCACCGGCUAACUACGUG